AUGAACGCUGGCGGCGUGCCUAAUACAUGCAAGUCGAGCGAACAGAUAAGGAGCUUGCUCCUUUGACGUUAGCGGCGGACGGGUGAGUAACCCGUGGAUAACCUACCUAUAAGACUGGGAUAACUUCGGGAAACCGGAGCUAAUACCGGAUAACAUAUUGAACCGCAUGGUUCAAUAGUGAAAGGCGGCUUUGCUGUCACUUAUAGAUGGAUCCGCGCCGUAUUAGCUAGUUGGUAAGGUAACGGCUUACCAAGGCAACGAUACGUAGCCGACCUGAGAGGGUGAUCGGCCACACUGGAACUGAGACACGGUCCAGACUCCUACGGGAGGCAGCAGUAGGGAAUCUUCCGCAAUGGGCGAAAGCCUGACGGAGCAACGCCGCGUGAGUGAUGAAGGUCUUCGGAUCGUAAAACUCUGUUAUCAGGGAAGAACAAAUGUGUAAGUAACUGUGCACAUCUUGACGGUACCUGAUCAGAAAGCCACGGCUAACUACGUG
rnacentral:rRNA from 1 species